rnacentral:rRNA from 1 species
GUCGGGAAUUUUGGGCAAUGGGCGAAAGCCUGACCCAGCAACGCCGCGUGAGGGAUGAAGUAUUUCGGCAUGUAAACCUCGAAAGAAUGGGAAGAAUAAAUGACGGUACCAUCUAUAAGCUCCGGCUAACUACGUGCCAGCAGCCGCGGUAAUACGUAGGGAGCAAGCGUUGUUCGGAUUUACUGGGCGUAAAGGGCGCGUAGGCGGCGCGGUAAGUCACUUGUGAAAUCUCUGAGCUUAACUCAGAACGGCCAAGUGAUACUGCUGUGCUAGAGGGCGGAAGAGGCAACCGGAAUUCUUGGUGUAGCGGUGAAAUGCGUAGAUAUCAAGAGGAACACCUGAGGCGAAGGCGGGUUGCUGGGCCGACACUGACGCUGAUGCGCGAAAGCCAGGGGAGCAAACG